ensembl:lncRNA
GUUGAAGACCAGUCGAGCUGCUGCAUUCUGAAUGAGCUGCAGAGGUCGAAUGGCGGUGGCAGGGAGACUAGCCAGGAGGGAGUUGCAGUAGUCCAGGCGGGAGAUGACAAGAGCCUGAAUCAGUACCUGCGCUGCCUUCUGAGUGAGAAGGGGACGUAUUCUCCUGAUGUUGUAGAGCGUGUAUCUACAGGAUCGCGUUGUCGCGGUGAUGUUGGGAGUCAGGGAGAGUUGGCUGUCGAGUGUGACGCCGAGGUUCUUAGCGGUCAAAGUGGGCGUUAGUACGGAGUUUCCAAAGUUGACUGUCAGGUCCUGGGUAAGCAAAUCUUUUCCGGGAAAGAGAAGUAGUUCAGUCUUGUCGGGGUUGAUUUUCAGAUGGUGGGCGGACAUCCACUGAGAGAUGUCAGUUAGACAGGCAGAGAUCCGAGCCGCCACCUGGGUGUCCGAGUGAGGGAAGGAGAGAAUUAGUUGGGUGUCAUCGGCAUAGCUGUGGUAAGAGAAGCCAUGCGAGCGAAUGACAGCGCCAAGAGAGUUGGUGUAAAGCGAGAACAGGAGGGGACCCAGCACGGAACCCUGAGGAACUCCAGUAGUAAGAGGACAUGGUUCCGACACAGAUCCUCGCCAGGUUACCCGGUAGGUGCGGCCGUCGAGGUAGGACGAGAGAAGGGAGAGAGCAGAGCCUGUGACACCAAGUUCCUGAAGGGAGGAAAUAAGGAUCUGGUGGUUGACCGUGUCAAAUGCAGCAGAGAGGUCCAGAAGGAUGAGGUCAGAGGAGAGAGAGGCGGCUCUAGCAGUGUGGAGUUGCUCUGAGACAGCAAGGAGAGCAGUCUCUGUGGAGUGGCCUGCCUUGAAACCUGACUGGUGGGGGUCAAGGAGGUUGUUACAGUGGAGAUAAGAGGAGAGUUGAUUAAAGCACACCUGUGCCACCACCCCUACCAGUGGGCCUGGGAGUGUGGCUGAAGGAGAAGGCGGAAGAGAGAGCGGCCGGGGUGGAUGUGUUCUCAGGUGUGAUCCAGGUCUCGGUGAGAGCGAGGAAGUCGAGUGACUGCUGGAUAGCGAAGCCGGAGAUGAAGUCUGCCUUGCGAGUCGUUGACUGGCAGUUCCAGAGACCUCCUGUGACGAGGUGCUGGACAUGUGUGGAGCGGGUGGGAUAGGAGAGAGAGGAGAGGUUACGAUAGAGAGCAGAUCUAGCCCGAGGCCUGUAGUAUCUGCGGGAAGGGAUUCGAACAGGUACGGGUAAACACAUUAUUAAAAAUAGCAGAAGAAGGCGCCGCAUUCAGCCGCCCCGAAGACUCCCACGAAAGACUCCUUUGUCUUUGUCCUGCUCGUCUUCGUGCUGCGAGGAUAAGCAAACGCUGAAGCUAACGCUUCCCACAAUUUCUAGUUAAAUACUCCCUCGUUAGUGGAAGUCGGCUGCGGCUGCGCUGGCCGCUCCCCCGUCGUUUAGGAGACAAAAGGUUGAUUGGCCUCGACAGAAACUCCUCAAAAUGCAAAACACCAAUAGCUUGACACCCUAAUCAGUGAACAAUCACCAUGUGGUGUUUUGACAAAAUGAGAGUUUAAGGAUUCAAGUCUUAUUUGCUUCAGAAGACAAGGCAAAACAGACUUAGAUCAGGUCAAAAC